rfam:Myotis lucifugus cont2.145, whole genome shotgun sequence.
GGUGGUUCUCAGGUGACGCACCCUGGAAUUGGGCUCCCUCCUCUCUGGUUCUGGGCUGCAUCACCCAAGAACCGCC